AGUGAUGGAGGGGUUCUACACUCCCCUUCCUCCAUCUACAGCCAUAUCUCUCCACAGUGAUGGAGGGGUUCUACACUCCCCUUCCUCAGCUACAGCCAUAUCUCUCCACAGUGAUGGAGGGGUUCUACACUCCCCUUCCUCCAACUACAGCCAUAUCUCUCUACAGUGAUGGAGGGGUUCUAUACACUCACAGGUGGAAGGGUAGGAGGCAGACAAAACAUUCCCUGGUUCUCCAGGUGGGAUUCUCACUCACCCCCCCACAUAACAAAUCAUUUGUUACAGAAACCUUCACAGGCCCUAUGUUUAAAUCAAAUGUAUUUAUAAAGCCCUUCUUACAUCAGCUGAUAUCUCAAAGUGCUGUACAGAAAGGAAGRGAGUGCAACUACUCAGCGUUGGAGAGACGUUGUUCAUUUAUYUGUGUUGUAUUUCAGAGGAAACAGCUGAGAACAUGGAUGGUCCCCGGGUUACUACAGAGAACAAUAGAAGUCGUGUUUCUGCAUCACAACAAAUGAAACAGAACCCUGUACCGUCAGACAGAUGGAUGCAAGAAAAGACACCCUCUGAGCAGAAAGAUAUUGGAAGAAAAGGCCAAAUUGACAGCUGCCAUAGAGGAGUACAACACCKRMUGUACCAGGUUCAGCAAUACCAUCUGRAGAGGAGAUCCUUUACGCAGACCUUCCUGCCUGGCCUUGAGGAGCUGCACGGACAAACCUUUGACCCGGUGAUGCUCCUGACACGGCCGAAGGAGGAGGAGUUAAUUGUCCUACAGGAAGUCCAGCAGCACUGGGAAAGCCUAAAGAGAGGAAUCGGAGAAUGUGCAAGACCUUGCUUCACAUGUGGCACCUGACCUAAGCAGGCAAAAGGAGAGUCAGCAGCCUCAGAAGACACCAGGACUCUGUCCAACUGUUAUACAGCAAAGCUAUGGGCCAAGACACCUCCCUCCUAGAAGAUAACUUCAUAGAUGACCUCGUGGAAGAGGACCUAGAUGACAUCUAUGACAGCGUCCACUACAGCUCUGAUGACGAGGAAUCUGUCCCAGACUGACGGUGUUCGUUUGGGGUGGGUGCAGUUUGCACGGGGUGGAAAGGGAUUCCAUUAGUUUGUCCCAGACUGACGGUGUUCGUUUGGGGUGGGUGCAGUUUGCACGGGGUGGAAAGGGAUUCCAUUAGUUUGUCCCAGU